rnacentral:lncRNA from 1 species
CUGGUGGCCCUGAGAUAGCAGUGAAGGUCUCAGACAUCACAUAGUUGCAUAAGGGCUGGAGAGCAAAAUGAUUGAUUAAAUUGUGUUUUCAGGUCUGUUUUUAUUUUUGAGGUUGUCAGCUAAAAUUUAAGCAAUAUUUUAUUAUACACAGGUGUCCUUAAUGAGAUUACCCUAACAGCAGACUCAUGGCUAUAAACAUAUCACAUAAGUCUGGAGCCACAUCACAUGCUGACAGCAAGUAGGAGUUCCCAUCUGACCAGCCAUUGGCCAAUCCGGUUUCUAAACCCUUCUGGCCUGAUUUUUACAUGAAACAUUUGCUUUCAUGCUCUUGGUAACAGCAGGCCUAUGUGCAUCCAGCCCCUGGUAUUUUUUUGUGUUUAGUGUUUGCUAUUUUGCACGAACAACAAAUCACCAUGUAUAUCUGUAAAUGUAUUAUGCAAAAAAAACAAAACAAAACAAAAAAAAAGUCAGUAAACCAAUCAAUAGCUUAAAGUGUGGUUAUAGUAUGGCACAGUGAAUCACUGAAAAAAAAAAUGCUGGAUGUUGCCACACAGCAAAGCUAACAAUGUAACCAAGUUAGUUCCUAAUGUGCUCUCUAGGUUGAUGUUGUGUCUGAUCUGGCCAUGUGGGAGCAGGAAAGACACGACUGUCCCAUGGGCUGAGAUUAGAGAGAGUCUGAUAGCACCGAGGUUUGCUAUGUCUGCCAGACUGAGUACAUAUGGGCCAGACCACACGCAGAGCCCACGGAGAAGCCAGAGGUCAUGAUGAGGAAGUGAAACAAUUCGCCAGGAAUAAUUUGGGACAAUUAGCAUUUACACAACUUCCUAACUCUGCUGAUUUGUUGUUGAUGAUCAGUACUUGGAUAACGCUGCUGUUUUGCACUACACUUGCCUGCAGUUUCACAUUAUUGUUGCCUCAAAUGGCUCAAAGAAAGUGACUUUGGUGAUCGCAGAAGUUUCUCAGAACUUUUGGGGGAUUUUUUUGGACAUCAUUGUCUUUACCUGACAUCCACAAAUAAUCGCUG